rnacentral:snoRNA from 1 species
ACUCAGCCUUUGAGCCCCUGGGGUCAGGCUGUAGCAGCCAGAGCACAUACUUGCGCGUAACUGGGGCCCAGGCAGAGGCAGCCCUUUGUAACCUCAAGCAACAAAG